rnacentral:rRNA from 1 species
GGGCCCGCACAAGCGGUGGAGUAUGUGGUUUAAUUCGAUGCAACGCGAAGAACCUUACCAGGGCUUGACAUCCUGCGAAUCUCUGGGAAACCGGAGAGUGCCUUCGGGAACGCAGUGACAGGUGGUGCAUGGCUGUCGUCAGCUCGUGUCGUGAGAUGUUGGGUUAAGUCCCGCAACGAGCGCAACCCACGUCUUUAGUUGCCAGCAUUUAGUUGGGCACUCUAGAGAGACCGCCGGUGACAAACCGGAGGAAGGUGUGGAUGACGUCAAGUCAUCAUGCCCCUUACAUCCUGGGCUACACACGUACUACAAUGCUACGGACAAAGGGCAGCAAACUCGCGAGAGCUAGCAAAUCCCAUAAACCGUGGCUCAGUUCAGAUCGUAGGCUGCAACUCGCCUACGUGAAGGCGGAAUCGCUAGUAAUCG